GAUGAACGCUGGCGGCGUGCCUAAUACAUGCAAGUCGAGCGAACGGACGAGAAGCUUGCUUUUCUGAUGUUAGCGGCGGACGGGUGAGUAACACGUGGAUAACCUACCUAUAAGACUGGGAUAACUUCGGGAAACCGGAGCUAAUACCGGAUAAUAUUUUGAACCGCAUGGUUCAAAAGUGAAAGACGGUCUUGCUGUCACUUAUAGAUGGAUCCGCGCUGCAUUAGCUAGUUGGUAAGGUAACGGCUUACCAAGGCAACGAUGCAUAGCCGACCUGAGAGGGGGAGUAGGCCCACCCGGAACGUGAGACGGGCCCAAGACCUACAGGGGGGGCCGGGGGGGGAAAUUUCCCGAAAGGGGAAAAACCCUGACGGAGAAGCGGCGGGGGGGUGGAAGAGUUUUGCGGAGUGAAAAACUGUUUUAUUGGGGGAAAACAUAUGUGUAAAAAACUGUCCCAAUUUGAAGGGAACUUAAAAAGAAGGCCCGGGCAAACCAGGG
rnacentral:rRNA from 1 species